rnacentral:rRNA from 1 species
GAUGAACGCUAGCGACAGGCUUAACACAUGCAAGUCGAGGGGCAGCAUGAACUUAGCUUGCUAAGUUUGAUGGCGACCGGCGCACGGGUGAGUAACGCGUAUGCAACUUACCUAUCAGAGGAGAAUAGCUCAUCGAAAGAUGAAUUAAUGCUCCAUAAAACAGGGGUCCCGCAUGGGAAUAUUUGUUAAAGAUUUAUCGCUGAUAGAUAGGCAUGCGUUCCAUUAGGCAGUUGGCGGGGUAACGGCUUACCAAGGCGAUGAUGCAUAGCCGAGUUGAGAGACUGAUCGGCCACAAUGGAACUGAGACACGGUCCAU